UCCCGCUUAGCUCAGUGGUAGAGCGCAUCACUAGUACUAUUUACCUUUGUAUGAAAUGAUGAGGUCAGUCGUUCAAGUCGGCUAGUGGGAA